UAUUAUGAGAGUUUGAUCCUGGCUCAGGACGAACGCUGGCGGCGUGCCUAAUACAUGCAAGUCGAACGCUUCUUUCCUCCCGAGUGCUUGCACUCAAUUGGAAAGAGGAGUGGCGGACGGGUGAGUAACACGUGGGUAACCUACCCAUCAGAGGGGGAUAACACUUGGAAACAGGUGCUAAUACCGCAUAACAGUUUAUGCCGCAUGGCAUAAGAGUGAAAGGCGCUUUCGGGUGUCGCUGAUGGAUGGACCCGCGGUGCAUUAGCUAGUUGGUGAGGUAACGGCUCACCAAGGCCACGAUGCAUAGCCGACCUGAGAGGGUGAUCGGCCACACUGGGACUGAGACACGGCCCAGACUCCUACGGGAGGCAGCAGUAGGGAAUCUUCGGCAAUGGACGAAAGUCUGACCGAGCAACGCCGCGUGAGUGAAGAAGGUUUUCGGAUCGUAAAACUCUGUUGUUAGAGAAGAACAAGGACGUUAGUAACUGAACGUCCCCUGACGGUAUCUAACCAGAAAGCCACGGCUAACUACGUGCCAGCAGCCGCGGUAAUACGUAGGUGGCAAGCGUUGUCCGGAUUUAUUGGGCGUAAAGCGAGCGCAGGCGGUUUCUUAAGUCUGAUGUGAAAGCCCCCGGCUCAACCGGGAAGGGUCAUUGGAAACUGGGAGACUUGAGUGCAGAAGAGGAGAGUGGAAUUCCAUGUGUAGCGGUGAAAUGCGUAGAU
rnacentral:rRNA from 1 species